rnacentral:misc_RNA from 1 species
GCCAAACUGUAAAAUCGCACUUGUUGACAAAUGUAAAUUUAGCUCCAAAAGCUCCAUGGAACAUUAAGAGAACAGAGAAGACUAAGAAAAUGGAACAAGAAACAGAGUGAUUCCCAAACAAGUCCAUAAGAAAUGAAAAAACUAAUCAAUUUUUUUCUUUUGUUUUUCACUCAACACUUCUGAUUUUGUCCCUUAAUGUGGGUUUUUGUUGAUGGAAAUGGAAAUGGGUAUUUGGGAUUGGAACUUGUUUGUUG